rnacentral:lncRNA from 1 species
ACCAAAAAAGAACCAAAACCAAGAGAAAUAUAGCAAACAAAAGGCAAAUAGAUCAUUGUAAUCAAAGCAAACAAAAGGCAAAUAGUUCUGGGUGAAGAACAAAUCAAUCCUUUCUGGGUUCAAAUUGGGAAGGACCCAAAGUGUGUAACAAGUCAAACUGGUAAAUAUAGCAAACAAAAGGAAAAUAGUUCAUUGUAAUCAAAGUAAAAUUGAUGUUCGUUUUCUCUUUUUGUCUCUUCAGAAUAAGGUAGGACUUAGCAGAUCUUUGUUAGGUAGAAAACAGGGCAAAAAUCUCAUUUUUAUCACUGCAAAUAUGAACAUCGAACCAUCUGGUUUCCGUAAGUUUUUGAAUCCCACAUCAAUUGCGUUUUUUUUUAAUGUAUUUAGUAUAGAGAUUUACUUGUUUUCUAAUUUUGUUUUCACUUUGAUGUUGCAG